CUGCCUAGGAGUAGCACUGCUCACUAGGCUUGGCCUUUCCACAUCAAUCAUUAACCAAGAAAAUGCCCACAGACUUAUUUACAAGAAAUCUGAUGGAGGCAUCUUCUCAGUUGAAGUCCUUCUCAGAGGAUUAUAGCUUGUUGACAGAUACUAAGCACAGUAUACAUCUGUGGGUCUGGUUUCCAGGCUUGCCAAAGACCCCACAGCCACCUGGCUCUGGGUGCUAUGUUGUUUGAACAGGAUCCUGGGACUUCUAAGCAGGUUAUAGCCUGGGGGCUUUGUUAAAGGGUUCUUUGGAGGAGGGCUGGAGUGGGUCUGAGCCAUCAUUUACAAGGAAUUCCCAGAUAGUAAUGGCAAGGAGCACUGUGACUCCUAAGCAGUGGGGUGUUCCGAGUGCCUGCCAACUGUGCUUUGCUCAUCUCAUGCCUUGGACUCUGUGUGGUCAAAGCUUCCCUUAGGAGGUCUGUGGCUUCUACUGCAGCAGUGUUGCCAUAGGUGGGCAACUUAUCCUUAUCUCUGGGAUCUUCCUUUAGUUAUGGGUCCCAUCUAAUGUCACUGGACUUUGGGACAUGUUCUAAAGAUUUGCACUAAUGUGUGAGACAUUUAGUGUCACAACUGGAGUUAAAGCUGUGAGAUUUGGGGAUAAAGGCUCAUGAGCUGUGCACUGGGACUUGGGAAACGUUUUGGGGCAUCUUUCUGGGUUUAGGCAGUGGCCGACCUUGAGCACAUGGAACAUGUGUUUUGUCAGCCUUCUCCAGGAGUUGUUGGGUAGAGAAUGUGGUUACUCAGCCCUGUGGGUAUGGUUAAGAGCCAUUGCCAGGCACCCAUUCUGAUCACCCCAGACAGUUCUGGCUUUUUGGAAGUUCCUAGAGUAGCUCUAAAUCCUCAGAAAGCUCUGCUGUGUGGUGAACUGUGUGUGUGGCCUCUAGCUACCUUUAGAACCUUGUGUCUGUCAUAGAGUCGGAGCUCCUGCUGUUCUGCUGGGAUGAGCAAGGUUUUCAAGCAUACUCACUGCCUUCCUGAGGCUUCUUUCCCCCUCUUCUCAUGGGUCAUAGACUUAUAGCAUUGUUUCAUUUCAUUGUUCCAAUAAUUUUUAAGUAAAAUGUGAACUUUACCGUAUAGAUGAAAUAAAUUCUCAUUUUGAA
rnacentral:lncRNA from 1 species